rnacentral:rRNA from 1 species
GACGAACGCUGGCGGCGUGCCUAACACAUGCAAGUCGAACGAGGUCCAUCCUUCGGGAGAAGACCUAGUGGCGAACGGGUGAGUAACACGUGAGGAACCUGCCCCGAAGACCGGGAUAACCCUCCGAAAGGAGAGCUAAUACCGGAUACCCCCACCGAGCCGCAUGGUUUGGUGAGGAAAUGGGUUCCGCUUCGGGAGGGCCUCGCGGCCUAUCAGCUAGUUGGUGGGGUAACGGCCACCAAGGCAUCGACGGGUAGCUGGUCUGAGAGGACGAUCAGCCACACUGGGACUGAGACACGGCCCAGACUCCUACGGGAGGCAGCAGUGGGGAAUCUUGCGCAAUGGGCGAAAGCCUGACGCAGCAACGCCGCGUGGGGAUGAAGGCUCUCGGGUUGUAAACCCCUUUCAGCAGGGACGAAUCAAGACGGUACCUGCAGAAGAAGCCCCGGCUAACUACGUGCCAGCAGCCGCGGUAAU